rnacentral:rRNA from 1 species
CGAGGGGCAGCGGGGGCGAAGCUUGCUUCGCCUGCCGGCGACCGGCGCACGGGUGAGUAACACGUAUGCGACCUGCCCCCCGCAGGGGGAUAACCGGGAGAAAUCCCGACUAAUACCGCGUAACGCCGCGGGGCUGCAUGGCCCCGCGGCCAAAGGAAGCGAUUCCGGCGGGGGAUGGGCAUGCGGCGCAUUAGCUAGUCGGCGGGGUAACGGCCCACCGAGGCGACGAUGCGUAGGGGUUCUGAGAGGAAGGUCCCCCACACUGGUACUGAGACACGGACCAGACUCCUACGGGAGGCAGCAGUGAGGAAUAUUGGUCAAUGGGCGUAAGCCUGAACCAGCCAAGUCGCGUGAGGGAAGACGGUCCUACGGAUUGUAAACCUCUUUUGCCGGGGAGCAACGGGGUCCUUGCGAGGGCCUUAUGAGAGUACCCGGAGAAAAAGCAUCGGCUAACUCCGUGCCAGCAGCCGCGGUAAUACGGAGGAUGCGAGCGUUAUCCGGAUUUAUUGGGUUUAAAGGGUGCGUAGGCGGGCUGUUAAGUCAGCGGUCAAAUGUCGGGGCACAACCCCGGCCUGCCGUUGAAACUGGCGGCCUCGAGUGGGCGAGAAGUAUGCGGAAUGCGUGGUGUAGCGGUGAAAUGCAUAGAUAUCACGCAGAACUCCGAUUGCGAAGGCAGCAUACCGGCGCCCGACUGACGCUGAGGCACGAAAGCGUGGGUAUCGAACAGGAUUAGAUACCCUGGUAGUCCACGCAGUAAACGAUGAAUGCUAGCUGUCCGGUUCUACG